rnacentral:tRNA from 1 species
GGAGAUAUGGCAGAGUGGUCGAAUGCGAUGGUUUUGAAAACCAUUGUACCGCAAGGUACCGGGGGUUCGAAUCCCUCUAUCUCCGCCA